rnacentral:rRNA from 1 species
AUUGAACGCUGGCGGCAUGCCUUACACAUGCAAGUCGAACGGCAGCGCGGGAGCAAUCCUGGCGGCGAGUGGCGAACGGGUGAGUAAUACAUCGGAACGUGCCCAAUCGUGGGGGAUAACGCAGCGAAAGCUGUGCUAAUACCGCAUACGAUCUACGGAUGAAAGCAGGGGAUCGCAAGACCUUGCGCGAAUGUAGCGGCCGAUGGCAGAUUAGGUAGUUGGUGAGGUAAAGGCUCACCAAGCCUUCGAUCUGUAGCUGGUCUGAGAGGACGACCAGCCACACUGGGACUGAGACACGGCCCAGACUCCUACGGGAGGCAGCAGUGGGGAAUUUUGGACAAUGGGCGAAAGCCUGAUCCAGCCAUGCCGCGUGCAGGAUGAAGGCCUUCGGGUUGUAAACUGCUUUUGUACGGAACGAAACGGUCUUUUCUAAUAAAGAAGGAUAAUGACGGUACCGUAAGAAUAAGCACCGGCUAACUACGUG